rnacentral:rRNA from 1 species
UACGUAGGUGGCAAGCGUUGUCCGGAAUUAUUGGGCGUAAAGAGCGUGUAGGCGGUUCGGUAAGUCUGUCGUGAAAUCCUGAGGCUCAACCUCGGGCGUGCGAUGGAUACUGCCGGGCUAGAGUGCGGAAGAGGCGAGUGGAAUUCCUGGUGUAGCGGUGAAAUGCGCAGAUAUCAGGAGGAACACCAAUUGCGAAGGCAGCUCGCUGGGACGUGACUGACGCUGAGACGCGAAAGCGUGGGGAGCAAACAGG